UCUUUGCACUCUAAAUACUACUACUGCUACGGAAUGAUACAGAGAAGAUUAGCAUGGCCCCUGGCAGAAGGAGGACAAUAAAAUUUGUGAAGCGGACAGGCUAACG